GACGUAGGGCGCGAGCGUUGUCCGGAUUUAUUGGGCGUAAAGAGCUCGUAGGCGGCUUGUCGCGUCGAUCGUGAAAACUUGGGGCUCAACCCCAAGCCUGCGGUCGAUACGGGCAGGCUCGAGUUCGGUAGGGGAGACUGGAAUUCCUGGUGUAGCGGUGAAAUGCGCAGAUAUCAGGAGGAACACCGGUGGCGAAGGCGGGUCUCUGGGCCGAUACUGACGCUGAGGAGCGAAAGCGUGGGGAGCGAACCGG
rnacentral:rRNA from 1 species